ensembl:snRNA U2 U2 spliceosomal RNA
AUUGCUUCUCAGCCUUUUGGCUAAGAUCAAGUAUAGUAUCUGUUCUUAUCAGUUUAAAGACUCUGUAUGUGUGUGUGUAUGUGUGUGUUUUUAAGACAGGGUCUCACUCUGUCACCAGGCUGGAGUGCAGUGACAAAAUCUCAGCUCACUUCAGCCUUGACUUC